UACGGAGGGUGCAAGCGUUGUUCGGAUUUAUUGGGCGUAAAGCGCGUGUAGGCGGUCUCUUAAGUCUGAUGUGAAAGCCCCGGGCUCAACCCGGGAAGUGCAUUGGAUACUGGGAGACUUGAAUACGGGAGAGGGUAGUGGAAUUCCUAGUGUAGGAGUGAAAUCCGUAGAUAUUAGGAGGAACACCGGUGGCGAAGGCGGCUACCUGGACCGGUAUUGACGCUGAGACGCGAAAGCGUGGGGAGCAAACAGG
rnacentral:rRNA from 1 species